rnacentral:rRNA from 1 species
UACGGAGGGGGCUAGCGUUGUUCGGAAUUACUGGGCGUAAAGCGCACGUAGGCGGCUUUGCAAGUUAGAGGUGAAAGCCCGGGGCUCAACUCCGGAAUUGCCUUUAAAACUGCAUCGCUAGAGUUGUGGAGAGGUAAGUGGAAUUCCGAGUGUAGAGGUGAAAUUCGUAGAUAUCGGGAGGAACACCAGUGGCGAAGGCGGCGAUCUGGGUCGAUACUGACGCUGAGGUGCGAAAGCGUGGGGAGCAAACAGG